CAUGGGAGUCAAGUUUCUCACCAGCUGAAUUAUUUGAACUUAGCACCACUAAAAGUGGAGCAAUCACAAAUACUCUAUGCAGUGAUUACUUCUGGCUAUGAUACAUAAAAACAGGAAAAUCUCAGUAGAGAAAAAAUAUGUAUUGAUGAUACAUGAUUUGGAUUUUUCCAAAGAACAAAAACUAUGAAUUGGGUUGCAAGGAUUUCAUGUUAAGACAACAGUAAGAAUAAAGACAUGGUGUAGAAGAUGCACACGUUAAGUAGGUUUAACAGGCCUGAGCAAAAGAUGCACAUAAUGAAACAUCACAAGAACAGACUAGAAAUUCCUCUAAGCCUGAUGUGAGAGCCAAAGAAAAUACAUCUGUAUUUGACUGUUGAUAAUGAGGAAUUUCUGAAAGGUUGACCUAUGGAAGUUCUGAAAAAAUGCUUCUAAACAAACCAGAUUCCUUUGUCAAAUAGAUAAGGGAAAUUAUGGAUAUGUAAUGCCACUUUAGAAAUUUCAAAUGCACAUUAACAAAGCAACAGCAAAAAGCAAACCCCAUUUAACUUUGUUUAACCUAGAUUUUAUGAACUUAUUUAACUAAGCAAACUCUCCCAUCUGUAUUUCCCUACUUGUAAUACUUAUUAAGAAUCACUAUUUUGGUGUCAUUGGAAUUUACUUAGCGAAAUGCAGUCUAACCUCUGCUUUAAGAGACAACUCUGGCAGAACUAUCAAUUGGAAAAAGAGAGUUUAGAUGCUAGGAGGCCAUUAUAAGAGCUCACUAGAGAGCUAAUCUAUCCAUGACUCUGAUGGGAGAAAAUAAAACUGAGAAAAAGGCAUGCAUUGGAGGCAACGAUCCUUGGAAUGUG
rnacentral:lncRNA from 1 species